AUGAACGCUGGCGGUAUGCUUAACACAUGCAAGUCGAACGGUCUCUUCGGAGAUAGUGGCGGACGGGUGAGUAACGCGUGAGAAUCUGUCUUCAGGUCGGGGACAACCACUGGAAACGGUGGCUAAUACCGGAUGUGCCUUUGGGUGAAAGAUUAAUUGCCUGGAGAUGAGCUCGCGUCUGAUUAGCUAGUAGGUGUGGUAAGAGCGCACCUAGGCGACGAUCAGUAGCUGGUCUGAGAGGAUGAUCAGCCACACUGGGACUGAGACACGGCCCAGACUCCUACGGGAGGCAGCAGUGGGGAAUUUUCCGCAAUGGGCGAAAGCCUGACGGAGCAAUACCGCGUGAGGGAGGAAGGCUCUUGGGUUGUAAACCUCUUUCCUCAAGGAAGAACACAAUGACGGUACUUGAGGAAUCAGCAUCGGCUAACUCCGUGCCAGCAGCCGCGGUAAUACGGAGGAUGCAAGCGUUAUCCGGAAUGAUUGGGCGUAAAGCGUCCGCAGGUGGCUUUGUAAGUCUGCUGUUAAAGAGUGAGGCUCAACCUCAUAAAAGCAGUGGAAACUACAAGGCUAGAGUACGUUCGGGGCAGAAGGAAUUCCUGGUGUAGCGGUGAAAUGCGUAGAGAUCAGGAAGAACACCGGUGGCGAAAGCGUUCUGCUAGGCCGUAACUGACACUGAGGGACGAAAGCUAGGGGAGCGAAUGGGAUUAGAUACCCCAGUAGUCCUAGCCGUAAACGAUGGAUACUAGGCGUGGCUUGUAUCGACCCGAGCCGUGCCGGAGCUAACGCGUUAAGUAUCCCGCCUGGGGAGUACGCACGCAAGUGUGAAACUCAAAGGAAUUGACGGGGGCCCGCACAAGCGGUGGAGUAUGUGGUUUAAUUCGAUGCAACGCGAAGAACCUUACCAAGACUUGACAUGUCGCGAACCUUUGUGAAAGCAGAGGGUGCCUUCGGGAGCGCGAACACAGGUGGUGCAUGGCUGUCGUCAGCUCGUGUCGUGAGAUGUUGGGUUAAGUCCCGCAACGAGCGCAACCCUCGUUUUUAGUUGCCAGCAUUAAGUUGGGCACUCUAGAGAGACUGCCGGUGACAAACCGGAGGAAGGUGGGGAUGACGUCAAGUCAGCAUGCCCCUUACGUCUUGGGCUACACACGUACUACAAUGCUACGGAAAAAGGGCAGCAAGCUAGUGAUAGCAAGCAAAUCUCAUAAACCGUAGCUCAGUUCAGAUCGCAGGCUGCAACUCGCCUGCGUGAAGUCGGAAUCGCUAGUAAUUGCAGGUCAGCAUACUGCAGUGAAUUCGUUCCCGGGCCUUGUACACACCGCCCGUCACACCAUGGAAGCUGGCAACGCCCGAAGUCAUUACUCCAACUGUUCGCAGAGGAGGAUGCCUAAGGCAGUGCUGGUGACUGGGGUG
rnacentral:rRNA from 1 species